rnacentral:rRNA from 1 species
GACGAACGCUGGCGGCGUGCUUAACACAUGCAAGUCGAACGGAAAGGCCCUGCUUGCAGGGUGCUCGAGUGGCGAACGGGUGAGUAACACGUGGGUGAUCUGCCCCUUACUUUGGGAUAAGCCUGGGAAACUGGGUCUAAUACUGGAUAGGACCAUGCUGUAGGUGGUGUGGUGGAAAGAUUAGUUUCGGUAAGGGAUGAGCUCGCGGCCUAUCAGCUUGUUGGUGGGGUAAUGGCCUACCAAGGCGUCGACGGGUAGCCGGCCUGAGAGGGUGGACGGCCACAUUGGGACUGAGAUACGGCCCAGACUCCUACGGGAGGCAGCAGUGGGGAAUAUUGCACAUUGGGCGCAAGCCUGAUGCAGCGACGCCGCGUGGGGGAUGACGGCCUUCGGGUUGUAAACUCCUUUCAGCCAUGACGAAGCCCUUGUGGUGACGGUAGUGGUAGAAGAAGCACCGGCUAACUACGUG